UGGUAUGACUGGUCUCGCUGAUCCCUCCUUUCUGAAGAACUGUAAUGUCAUUAAUUUGGUGUUGCAGGGAAACAGGACUGUUACUCUGAAAAAAUUAGAGUGUUUAAAGCAGGCUAACGCUUGAAUACAUUAGCAUGGAAUAAUGAAAUAGGACGUUCAAACCUAUUUUGUUGGUUUCUAGGAUUGACGUAAUGAUUAAUAGGGAUAGUUGGGGGCAUUAGUAUUCAAUUGUCAGAGGUGAAAUUCUUGGAUUUAUUGAACACUAACUACUGCGAAAGCAUUUGCCAAGGAUGUUUUCAUUAAUCAAGAACGAAAGUUAGGGGAUCGAAGACGAUCAGAUACCGUCGUAGUCUUAACCAUAAACUAUGCCGACUAGGGAUCGGAUGAUGUUAAUUUUUUAAUGACUCAUUCGGCGCCUUACG
rnacentral:rRNA from 1 species